UUUCUCCCGAUGUGAACAGAACAGGCUGGAUUGGUCACGAGGUCAGUGUGGAAUUCAAGUCAACUGCCACAUCUGGACAUCUAAAAUAGCUUUCUUGUAGCAUAUCUUGUCCAUGAUCUGCUGUAUUUUAAUUCUCUGAUUGUCAUUAUUGUACAGUAUUGUCUUCAGAUUCUUCUUC
rnacentral:sRNA from 1 species